rnacentral:rRNA from 1 species
AUUGAACGCUGGCGGCAGGCUUAACACAUGCAAGUCGAACGAGUGGCGGACGGGUGAGUAAUGUCUGGGAAACUGCCUGAUGGAGGGGGAUAACUACUGGAAACGGUAGCUAAUACCGCCUACCAUCGGAUGAGCCCAGAUGGGAUUAGCUAGUUGGUGGGGGAACGGCUCACCAAGGCGACGAUCUCUAGCUGGUCUGAGAGGAUGACCAGCCACACUGGGACGGAGACACGGCCCAGACUCCGACGGGAGGAAGCAGGGGGGAAUAUUGCAAAAUGGGCGCAAGCCUGAUGCAGCCAUGCCGCGUGUAUGAAGAAGGCCUUCGGGUUGUAAAGUUCUUUCAGCGGGGAGGCGUUACCCGCAGAAGAAGAACCGGCUAACUCCGUGCCAGCCGCCGCGGUAAUAC